AUUGAACGCUGGCGGCAGGCCUAACACAUGCAAGUCGAACGGUAACAGGAAACAGCUUGCUGUUUCGCUGACGAGUGGCGGACGGGUGAGUCAUGUCUGGGAAACUGCCUGAUGGAGGGGGAUAACUACUGGAAACGGUAGCUAAUACCGCAUAACGUCGCAAGACCAAAGAGGGGGACCUUCGGGCCUCUUGCCAUCGGAUGUGCCCAGAUGGGAUUAGCUAGUAGGUGGGGUAACGGCUCACCUAGGCGACGAUCCCUAGCUGGUCUGAGAGGAUGACCAGCCACACUGGAACUGAGACACGGUCCAGACUCCUACGGGAGGCAGCAGUGGGGAAUAUUGCACAAUGGGCGCAAGCCUGAUGCAGCCAUGCCGCGUGUAUGAAGAAGGCCUUCGGGUUGUAAAGUACUUUCAGCGGGGAUGAAGGGAGUAAAGUUAAUACCUUUGCUCAUUGACGUUACCCGCAGAAGAAGCACCGGCUAACUCCGUG
rnacentral:rRNA from 1 species